rnacentral:rRNA from 1 species
CGGACGGGUGAGUAACACGUGGAUAACCUACCUAUAAGACUGGGAUAACUUCGGGAAACCGGAGCUAAUACCGGAUAAUAUAUUGAACCGCAUGGUUCAAUAGUGAAAGACGGUUUUGCUGUCACUUAUAGAUGGAUCCGCGCCGCAUUAGCUAGUUGGUAAGGUAACGGCUUACCAAGGCAACGAUGCGUAGCCGACCUGAGAGAGUGAUCGGCCACACUGGAACUGAGACACGGUCCAGACUCCUACGGGAGGCAGCAGUU